rnacentral:rRNA from 1 species
AUUGAACGCUGGCGGCAUGCCUUACACAUGCAAGUCGAACGGCAGCACGGGUGCUUGCACCUGGUGGCGAGUGGCGAACGGGUGAGUAACACGUAAGUAAUCUACCUUCGAGUGGGGAAUAACGUUCGGAAACGAACGCUAAUACCGCAUAAUGCAGCGGCAUCUAUGAUGACAGUUGUUAAAGAUUUAUCGCUUGAAGAGGAGCUUGCGGCAGAUUAGCUAGUUGGUAAGGUAACGGCUUACCAAGGCGACGAUCUGUAUCCGGUCUAAGGGGACGGUCGGACACACUGACACUGAAUAACGGGUCAGACUCCUACGGGAGGCAGCAGUCGGGAAUUUUGGGCAAUGGGCGAAAGCCUGACCCAGCAACGCCGCGUGAAGGAUGAAGUUUUUCGGAAUGUAAACUUCGUAAGAAUAGGAAGAAUAAAUGACGGUACUAUUUGUAAGGUCCGGCUAACUACGUGCCAGCAGCCGCAGUAA